UACGUAGGUGGCAAGCGUUGUCCGGAUUUACUGGGCGUAAAGCGCGCGCAGGCGGCUCGGCAAGCAUGGCGUGAAAGCCCCCGGCUCAACCGGGGAGAGUCGUCGGGGACCGCACCGCUUGAGGGCGGUAGGGGCUGGUGGAAUGCCUGGUGUAGUGGUGAAAUGCGUAGAGAUCAGGCAGAACACCUGGGGCGAAGGCGGCCAGCUGGGCCGUCCCUGACGCUGAGGCGCGAAGGCGUGGGGAGCGAACGGG
rnacentral:rRNA from 1 species